rnacentral:lncRNA from 1 species
UUUUUUUUUUUUUUUUUUUAGUUUUUGGUGCAACUCAAUUUUACAAUGACCAAUAACAAAGGUUCAAAACAAACAAUAAUAUAUGUUGCAAUUUAUCUUCCUACUAGACAAUAGAAGGUUGUAUUUUGACUUGAAGGAUUUUUCUUUGAUAUUCUUGGGUUGUUAUGAAAAAAUCAUUCUUAAAUAUAUAGGUGCAAGAGAUUUUUUGGAUAAGUCAGGAUCGAACACAAGGAAUUUCUAUCAACGCUUAGUUAUAAUGUUUACUGCUCAAUCAAGUAGUAUACAUUUUAUACAUAAUAAAAUAUAAAAUGUUAUACUAAGCUACUUAUUUACACAAAAGAUUCUAUAGAGGGAAUGGAAUGGGAUGAUUAUGGAAUACGAACUAACUUGCGUUCAUAAGGAUGAAGGAAAGUCAUAGUAUUCUAGGUGAUCUAAGUUAUGCAAUAUGUCCUUGAUGCGAUAUAGAUCACUUGACCAUCUUAUAUUUAAGGCGAAUAACCUCUCGAUGCUUAAACAUCAUACUUAUUCUCCUUUCAGGACACAAAUGGUAAAGAUGUGAUAUACAUCUAGGGUUUCUUACUUAUAAGCAUCAUAUAUGACUCUCUAUUUAAAACAAGCAACCUCUCAGUGCCUAAACACCAUAUUUGUUCUCCUUUCAGAACAUAAAUGAUUAAAGUCAAAAUGCCAAAAUGAAGUUUGUUCAAACUCCCUUCUACACGUAUUUAGUAGUGUCCUUACUACUUACUCUCUCGAGCAGUUGACAACCAACGUUGGCCAAGCAAUUGAGUUCAGCUCAGCUAAAUAUGAUGAGACUUAUAACUAAAGAAUCCUUACCUUUUAGUUAUGUCUUUGCUACUUAUUCUCUCGAGCAGUCAAAAGCCCAUAUUCUUCAUACAUAAACUGCAUAGUUAUACCUUUUCAAUCCACCAUCUCUUAACAUCCCACCUAUCUUUAUGUUGUUAAAUGAGAAGAGUGUGAUAAAUUCUUGAUAAGAAGUUCAACUUAUAAUUCUUGUCGCGUUAGUUGAGCUAUGUUCAUCACUUGACCAAUGUCAAUCGUCAACUACUCGAGAGGGCAAGUAGCAAGGAUAUAACUAAUGAGAUCAAGUAGCAAGGAUAAGACUAAUGAGCGCAAGGAGGAAUUUGGAGACAAAUUUCACCUUAGCGAAGUAACUGCCAACAUUUGUAUCCCUAAAGGUGAACAAGUGUGGAUAAUAGGCACCAAGAGAUUGUCGUCCUUAAUCGAGAAGUCCUUAAUCAACAACUGUGGAUAAUAAGUAUUAUAAGUCAAGUUCUGUAGGUAUAAUUUGCCUAAGCAAGCAUAGUCAUUUGUAUCCCUAAAAGCGAACAAGUGUGGCAUUUAAACACUUCGAGAUAAGGUCACCUUAAUCAUGUGUCCAUUAUGCAAUUAUAGCAUGUUAAGGUUAUCGCAACACCUAAGCAUUUAAUAGCGCGCAAAAUUUCUUUCAACUUUCAUUUGCAUACAAGUUAGAUUAUUUCACUCUCCCCUAAUUAAAUUUAAUCUCUCGAGCUGUAAAUAAGUAGUUGUAGUUAUUGUUACAUUUUUUCAACUUAAUUACCAUAAAGCCAAAAUGACAAGUGAAAUCUAGAACUAACAUCUAUAACAAUUUCCUGUGUUCGACCUUGGAUCACCUAGGUAAACCUACUGUUCACUUGCACUUAGACGAGACGUAAGAAAACUUGUACUCAACAAGGAUUUAAGUAUUAUGCAAUGAAGAUGGACAUAGUGAGCACCUUCAAUGUUAUGAUCAUGACCCGUGACCCAUCGUUUAGAAUCAAGGCAUGUCAUACAGAGAGUUACAACGAGCACAUUAUGUGUGAUGACCUAACUCAGUGAUGUAUGACACUUGCGUUCCACACAUGAAUUUAGUAAGUCCAAACUGACCAAAACCAAUGUUCAACCAGAUGCCCCUUAAUAAAAUAUCACCAAUAGUGAAGCCAUAGAAACGAUAAUAAUAAUAAUAAUGAGCCAUCUUGAAAAGCAAAGUCUUCCAAAAGAUUAUAUCAAGCCGAAAUCAAAACAAAGGCUACACCUCAGUAGACAAAACAUACUGCCUCUUUGAUCCAUAGUCAAGAUAGAAGUCAUAACUACGUAGCAAAAUAAUUACAACUACAAAACUCUCCCCCUUUGAACACAAAAAGAGGUAAUUCUCAUGAAAAUAAUCAUAUCAAAAUUUUGUUGGAUUCCAAGUGAUAGUAGUUAUCAAUUUGCCGAAUUUCUUUCAUAAAAAUAGUAUUGUUCUUAUCUGUCACAUACAUCCUUCUUUGCAGAAAUUUAGUGUAUAACCUUGAUCACACAUUUGGCUAAUAUUGAUUAAAUUUGCAAUAAGUUCUUUUACAUAUAUCGCAUCAUUAUAUCUCGAAAGAUUUAUAUUAAUUGUAUUUUAUCUUGCCAAAAUUCUUCCUUUUGCUCCAUCACCGAAAGUUACAUACCUUGAAGAACUUUUUUUAAUUCUGAAAAAUAUGAGCGAUUACUAGUCAUAUGGCUUGAGCAACCACUUUCAAAAUGUCAAUCUUCAGUUGAUGUUUGAUUUAUAGUAAAGGCAACUUUACAUUUAUCAGAGGAUUGAUUUACUCUCCACAAUGUAUUAGUGUUUCUUGACUUAUAUACAACAGACUUAGAUCUGUCAAGAGUAUGAUUAGAAUGAUAGACAUUUUCUUUAAGAAAUUUUUAGCAAAAAAGCCUUAUAUGAUCAUGCUUACCGCAGUGAUGACACACCCAAAUCUUAGACUUCUUUUGAACAUGAUUGGUCCUGACUUGAUUGGCUUUGAGAGGAAUAACUUUCUUUGUUAUCACAUUUUCUUCUACACUCCUCUUGGCUUUUGCUGGAACAAAAAAAAUUAAUUUUUUCUGAUUGCAUGCUUGUCCUGAUGAACUAUAGUCGAGACCAUACUUAUUUGAACUAGAUUUUCCAGUAUUUAAAAUCCAAUUUAGAUCAUUUGUGCCAGAGUUUAGCAUUUUUACAGAUUUUGACAACUAUUCAUGCUCAGUUUGUACCUCUUUCAGUUUCUAUUUUAAAGAGAAUAUCACAAUCAAUAAUCGUUGAUUUUCAUCCAUCGACUACUGUAUUUUUUUUCUUUUUGAAUAGCCCGAGUUGAUGAAUCCUCCCUCCAUUGACGCUGCAACUGAUCAAAAGACGGAGUAUCCUCCGUUUGACAAUUUAAGUUUUCAAAACCAGAUAUAGAUUCAUUUUUAGAUAUAAUAAUGAUAAAAGUAUUUGUAUAUUCCUCUUCUUCACCACUUAGGUUAUACUCUUCAUCUGAUAGGGUAGCACCAAAACUUUUCCUCUGCCUUCUCAGGUACGUCAGACAUUCAAUCUGAUAAUGGUCAUGACCACCACAUUUCCUACAUUUGAAUGAUCCAUCUAAUUUGACAUUAGGCUUAUCAAAAUUCUUUCUUCUAAAGUUGUUCUGAUCUCUACGGUUGAAGCCAAAAUUUCUCCUUUAUCUUUAGGAUCAUUUAUAAAAUAUCUUUUAAUAAGAAGUUAAAAGAUCUUCCUUAAAUAUCUCCUUUAAAGAAGAAGAUAAAAGAUAUUCCUCAUAUUUAGGAAUAUUUUAUCGCAAGAAGUUCUUUUUUCUUGACUCUCUAAAAAGCAGAAGUUUUCUUUAGAAAUUUAUAUUUUUGGUGAAGAAUCUAUACGAAGGUAAACUGGUUACCUCCUUUAUUUUAUGAAAAACUUUUUAUAUAUUCUUUAGUGGUUUCGGUGUAUAUGAGAUAAGAAAUUUAAAAAAGAUCUUGAAGAUUUGAUAAAGUCUUUAAAUUGUGAAGCUUUUCACAAGUUUUUGUGUGUGGGUUACUAGAUUUCUAUUCAAAGAAAUUUGUGUUACCAAAGAAAGUUUUCAAAGGUAUCUCAGUUACCUUCUACAGUAUGACAAAUUAUUGAAGAUCGUCAAGUGAUUUGACAGAGUAUCGAUUGAUAAGAAAUAUGAAUGAGACUGAGUUAAUUGUAUUGCGGUAAAUGAAUUCAAGGGGAGUCUGAAUUCGUCUUUGAGGAGAUUCACGAUUACCUUAAGGGGAAGCCUGAGUUUAUUUUAAGUUAUGGUGAUAAAUUAUCAAAGUAGCUUUAGAUUUAAGUUAUUACCUUUUGAAUCUCAAUAAUAUUUCUUAUAUGAGCAAAGAAGUUCCCUAGGUGUAGGUCGUAUUUGUCGAAUUGGAUUAUCAAAGGCUUUUGUGUUAGUUAUUCCUACAGUUAAUUAUGUUAGUUAUUCCUACCGUUAAUCAUGUUAGUCAUACCUGGAGGAUAUUAUUUUCGUCUCACCUGUUUUUCAAUGGACGGACUGAAAGUAGAGAACUGGAAGUGAUCUUUCAUUGCUCUGUACAUGCUGGCUCGAUAUCAAUAGUAUUGAGUGUUAAUGGUAUAAGGUUGAUUCAUAAUAGAUUUCAACAAUAAAUGCAAUGGAAUAUGGGUGUUACAUUGAAUUUUUGUGUUUUUGGCUAUUGAAAGAGAGGAAAAAAAGAGAGAUAGGAAAUAUACGAGAAUCAAAGCUUUUAAUUGGCAAUUUGGGUAAUUGUGCAAUUGGCUAUCGAAUUUGUAAUCCUUCAUUUUUCCCUUCAAUCCAAGAACCAAUACAAUGAUUUUGAACCACAAUAGGGUAACCAUUUGUAUUCAAAUUGAAAUAUUGUCAAACUAUUAAAGUUUGUUUGGAUUACAAUUUCAAAGGAUCAAAUUAAAAAAUGAUUUUGAAUUUUUUUUAUAAAAUAAUAUUGUUUAGGAUAAAUACUUAAACCAAGUUUUAGAAAAAAUGAUUUUUUUUUAUUGUUUAAUGGUCAAUUUCUUAAAUUUAUAUGAAAAAUUAGGCUUCCACCUCUGAUGAUCUUUGUUGUCCAAUCUUUAGUGAUCUUCUUUCAUAGAUUGCUAUCAACCAACCUCAAAUCAUCAUCAUUGGUGAACCUUCGACCACUAUUUUUCAGAUGACAGUUAAAAUCAAAUUUUCGUGUACCGUUUUUUCCACACCUCCCUCUAGCCAAUCUCUAACAACUGCUUUCAACCGUGCAGGCCAAUCACCCACCAACCUCUACCAUCGUCAGUAAACCUCUGAUCACCAUUUUUAUGGCUACUAGUUUUCAUGGACCGUUGACGAUCAACUUUCGUUUUCUGUUAUUCAACAACCACAUUCUAAAAAUGAUGCGACCAACUUUCAACAAACAUAUUUUGAUGUCGGCUACUUGUCAACUUUCGAUGAUUGCUUUAUACAAUUGCACUAACAACCUCUAAUCACUGUUUUUCGACAAAUCCUUUCUGACAACUAUUGUCAACCAACUUUCGACCACAUUUUUCAAUGACAAUUUUCUAGUGAUUGUCAUAGGCACACCUUCAAUUGUUGCGAACAACUACUUUUUGCCUAUGGUUGACUCUCAAUAUUCAUCUUAAAGGACUAGAUAAUCAUAUAGGAAAAGCAAUUGAAUCUAAUAUCGUUCUAAUUACAUAUAAUUGAAGGAUUAAACAUUUUUUUUAACUUUGUUCAAAAACAAAAUUUGUAUAACAUAGAAUAUGUUGCUCAAAUCUUCACGAGUUUGAUAAUUUUCUUAUUAUGAAAUCUCCGAGAACAAUCACUUAGAUCAUCUCUACUAUCUUCUAGAAUUAGAACUUGAGUGUGGACCAAUUUGGUGAUGAAUUUAGAGAAUUUUAUAGGAAGAGAAAACUAUGAACACAAGGUAAGUUUCAGCAAAAUUAGUCAAGUUUCAUCAUCAAAUAAUCUCAUCAAACUUCAAGAAUAAAUAGCUAAAUUUAUUCAAACUAACCAUUAGUUUUUAAUUUGGUUAUAAUAAGGAUUUGUGGUUAACUGUGGAAUCAACAACUCAUGAAAGCAGGGACCUUGGAACUCAAAGUUGGGGUUUUUCCACUCACAUUUGAAAGACAACAAUUUGACUUCUAAAAAUAUUUUUCAAUUAAAUUGAUUUUUCUUUAAAAUGAUAAAUCAAUUUAAAAAUCAAAAUUUCUUAUUUAAUUAAAAUAAUUUCUCAACUAAUCUUAUUGAUUUGAGAAUUCCAAAUUUAAUAAAAUAAUAAAAAUUGAUCAAUGAAACUAUUUAAUUAAUUAUUAUUUUAAUCACAAAUCUCGAUCAAUUUCAUUGACCUAAUCCAAAUCCCUAUUCGGAUUUUUCAAUACUUAAAUCUUAUUUAAAUGCUAUUUCUCUUUCCAUUUGUAAUAGUUGAUUAUAUCAAAUAUUAUCAACAAUUUGUUCUUUAAAUCAAUUUGAACGAUUCGAAAUUCUUGAUCACGUUGUUUUGAGUUUAAUUCCAUAAUGAGUCAGUAGAGAGACCUAAUGAACUUACAGAUCAUGAGUUCUAAUGAUCUAAGAUUAAUAGACUAAACUCUUUAACCUAGCUAACCAACAUCCAUUUUCUAACAAGACUGUCCACUAUAGCCCCUAGGUCCACUUGAUAUAGCAAUGAUUAGUAAGUUGAGCCUUCAUAGGUUAUUUGUAAUCUCGACUGGAUCAAAAUAUCAUUUUACCCUCAAUGAUACAUUUUGUUUCUUAAGUCUCAUUGAUCUUCUAAUGAACAAUUGAUUUAUGAUCCAACCAUUAAACUAUCCCUCUCGGGCCAAUGAGAGGGUAAGACCCUUGUUUAAGUCUCAGAGUCAACACUUAAGGGAACAACCUCUCUACUAUCCUUAGAAUCGAGUAGGAGAGAAUUUCAUUUUGCACUCUAUGUCCAAGAUUGUCUUUUUGGUCUUCCCUUGAAAUGAAAGGUCUGUUGCACUAGUGCUAUUGAACUGCCCUCACCUAUCAAGAUCUAAGAAUAAUCUCGAGUAAAUAGGAGUUUGUAGUUAGCUCAAUAUUAACAUCAAGAUACUUAGGUAAUCAAAAUUAAAAUUGUCAAUUUUAAACAGUAAAUAAUGUUAUAAAGUAAAAGUGAUUAUUUCAUGGUUUGGUCUUAUGCAAACUUUUUGCAUAUUGAAUAGGACACCCUUACUUGCACGUUUCUACAUGAACGAUUUAAGAUCAUAUUGUCUGUACUAAAUAUAAAGGGCGCAUGUCUGUAGUGUCUCCAAAAUAAUUAAGUAUUCAACCAUACUCCUAUGCUACAGACCAUUUACACUAUCAACUCAAACUUGAUUUAUUUUGAUGUCACUAUAUAAAAUUCAAGUAUUCAUAUUAUAGCUAAAGGAACCUUAGUUUAUUGGAUUCAUAGUUUAUAACAAGCAAAUCUCUUAUUCAAUAAAAAUUUAUUAAAUAACACCUCAGGAACAAUUUUAUUGAAUAAUAAAAUAGCUUAACAUUUACAAAUCACAAAUUUUAGGACAUAAAAUGCAACAUGUCUAUCGUUUUCAUCGCAAUCGUUAUCGACCAACCUUAGAUUACCGCUUUUCAAUUACCAUAUUCGACCAACCUUUUGUCACCAUUUUAUGGUGACUGUUGUUGGCUAACCUUUAGUCACCAUUUUUCAAUGACUAUCGUUUACCAACUUUCCGUUAUUUUUUUUCGAUGAUUUGCCUACCAUCUCUGAUCACCGUCUACAACCAAAUUUCAGCAACUGUUUUCUUAGCAACUAUUGUCGACCAACCUCUGGUGACCAAUAUUGCUCACCUUUAAUCAUCAUUUUCCAGCAAUCGCUAUUACCUUCGAUCACUGUCUUUGAUGAUUGUUUCAUGCAACCAUCAAUGAUCAACUUUCAACAGUCGUUUUCUAGUGAUUGUCAUUGGCCACCUCCAACUGAUAUCCCUGAUAACCGUUGUCAACUCCGACCAUCACCUUCACGGGCAAUUUUUUUUAUUGUAAUUUAAAAUUAAUAGAAACAUUUUUAGUAUAUAACAAAUAAUUUAUACCUAAAAACACUUUUGAAAAAAAGUAGCCAAAGACUGUUUUUAUUUGAAUUUGAAGUUGCUUUUAGAAAAAAAUGUUUAAAUGAAAAUGCAUUUUUGAAAAACAUGUUUAAAUGUAAUAUAUAAUGUUGGUAGCUAAUUGUUUGAAUAUUAUAUACAAUGUUAAAAAGAAAACUAGCCUAACACAUGAAUGGAGUGCAAAAGAUAGGAUAAGUACACAGAAGGGGCCAACUGAAGUAGACCACCAAUCAAUGUUUGAAGCAAUUCUAUUCUGUGUUUAUGAAAUUGGAAAGGAUUUGCGUAUGGUCAUUCAAUGGUAGUUGUACUGGCAAGUUUUGUUUUGUUUUGUUUUGUUUCUUUUUAAUUUUACUGCCGAGUUUCAUCACGAUCAUCUUCAGUUUGGAGACAACCAAUCGAGCUUCAAACAAGCUCUUUCACAGGACAAAUCAAAGAAGAAAAGAAAAAGAAAAAGAAAUGUAUGUUGGUUGCAGAAACAUAAGCAAAGAAAAGGAAGGAAUUAAGGAAUGUCUUAUACGGGCUUGGUAUUAUGGUCUAAGAAUAUGUAUAUAAUCAACAAAAUAAAUUGCAACCAAUUCAAACUUCCAAAAUAUUACAUUGAAAAAAUAUAUGGAUUCUUCAAAUGAUGGAUACAUGGAAAAAGUUUAAAACUUCAAAUUCCAAUACAACCAAGGCUUCUAGUAAUGAUUGAAUUGACGUUUGUCAUGGUGUUGUCUCAAGAAAGUUCCAUAAGCUGCAAAAGGUUCUAAAUAUAAACAUUGUUGCAAUGUAUUGAUUGCAAUAGAAUUUGGCCCACAAUUUUUCUUCAAAUAGUUUGUUUCUCCUUCAUUGAGCAUCAGUUAUGAAGACAAGCAAUUCAAUUGGAGAGUAAUGGCUAUUUAAUUGUGCAAACAAAUCAAAUAAUGAAAGAUUUCAUGUUUUAACCAAUUAAGUUAAAUUCCAAUAUUACUUGUUAUUAAAGCAAGAUAAGUACUGCACAAGUAACUCAAAUGUUCAUUCUAUACAUCAAAUAAUGAUGACAAGAAAAUAACAACAGCAAAUAAAGAACGAAAAAACAAUCACAACUUCAUAAAUUCAUAUUACAUGGGAAGGUACUUGAAUAAACAAUCACAACUUCAUAAAUUCAUACAUGGGAAGGUACUUGAAUGACUUUCAUACAAAAGUUCAAUUUACAAGAUGUAUUAGACAUAAGCAUAAUACAAAACAGCUUUGAGUGUGACAAGAAGCAGGAGAAA